GUUGAAAAAGCAGAUUGAGUUAGGAAUUUCUACUUUUAAAUCGACGAAAGAUAAAAAAGGAGGUUUAAUUAAUCUAAAAAUGAAUGAAAAUACCUAUCUAAAUUCGAAAUUGUAAGUACCAUAAAUAUCACUGAUUUCAGAAUCAUUAAUUUAGUUUAAUUUAAAAAAUUUAAUUAUUCAUUAAAAACCAAUAUUACAUUUUGAUUAAAUUAAUUGAGAAUUUAUAAUUAUCAUCAAUAAAAAAUAUUCAUUUUUGAAAAUUAUUUUCUUAAGAUGUUCAUGCUAAAUCAUUAGAGAAUUGACUUCAUAAUAAAAAUAAUUAAGAAAUAAUUAUUUUUUGAAGUGUCCUGAGCUUGCCCAUCUGUUAAAAAUUAGUAUUUGUAAUCAUUUUUCUUUUUUUAAUAAUUUGUAAAAUAUUCACUUUAUUUACUUAGAGAGAUGAGCAUACUAACUAAAUCAUGACCUAAUCUUAGUAAACCAGAUAUUGUAGCGUUCCUUUGGGGUAUCCGGAAUUGGUUUAUUUAAUGGUGUCGUCAUCCAUUGUAGUCAAGAGUCUCCCAGAGUCUCCUAGUUAAAAAAGAAAAGUGAAACAAGAAGAAAAAUACUUACUUCUGCCUGAUAUAAUUUGAAUUAUCUAAUUUCAUGGAAAUUGUGAACAUUUAUUAAAAAUAUUGGA